rnacentral:rRNA from 1 species
UACGGGGGGGGGCAAGCGUUGUUCGGAAUUACUGGGCGUAAAGGGCUCGUAGGCGGCCAACUAAGUCAUACGUGAAAUCCCUCGGCUUAACCGGGGAACUGCAUCCGAUACUGGAUGGCUUGAAUCCGGGAGAGGGAUGCGGAAUUCCAGGUGUGAGCGGUGGAAAUGACGUAGAUAUCUGGAGGAACACCGAUGGCGAAGGCAGAUCUCUGGGCCGUAACUGACGCUGAGGAGCGAAAGCGUGGGGAGCGAACAGG